rnacentral:lncRNA from 1 species
GUCUGGAAAGAAACUGCGUUCCACAGGCCUUUGUAAGAGAUGUUACCGGGAGGCUGUAAGAGCCCUGUGGAGAGCGAGUUGUUUCUUACCUUCCGAAAGACCUGGAAGAAAGACCAUUUGAGGCUUGUUUCCCUUUGAGGCACUGAUUCAGUUCUUUGUUCCUUCCACCUGUAGGGCAAUGGAGGACAUGGCUCAGAGCAGAAGUUCUAAGAAUGCUAGAUCAGGGCUGGAAACUAACUGCCUUUCAGGCCUUUGUAUGACAGGUGCCCUGCAGGCAUUAAGAGCACUGUGGAAAGCAAUUUCUUUCUCGGCUUGCCAAAGAGAUGGAAGCAAGAUGGUUUGUGGCCGCUCUCCCUUUGGAGAAAAGAGGCAGUUCCUUUUCCCUUCCACCCCUAGGAAAGUGCAUGACACGGCAGAGGAGAAGUUCUAAUUCAGUGAGAUCAGGGCUGGAAAGAAACUGCAUUUCACAGACAUUUGUAAGACAUGUUCCCAGGACGCUGUAAGAGCACUGUGGAGAGCGAGCUGUUUCUUAGCUUCCCAAAGAGCUGGAAGUAAGAUCAUUUGUGGCUUGUCUCCUUUUGAGGCACUCACUCAGUGGUUUGUGCCUUGCACCUCUAGAGCAAUGGAGGACAUGGCUUAGAGCAGAAGCUCUAAGGCGACGAGAUCAGGGCUGGAAACAAACUGCAUUUCAGGCCUUUAUAUGACAGGUUCCUGGUAGUCUGUAAGAGCACUGAGGAAAGCGAGUUCUUUCUCGGCUUGCCAAAGAGCUGGAAGCAAGACGGUUUGGGUCCUGUCUCCCCUUGAGGAGACAAGGCAGGACUUUGUCCCUUGCAGCUCUAGGGCCAUGUAGGACACAGCAGAGCAGAAGUUCUACUACAGCGAGAUCAGGCCUGGGAAGAAACUGCAUUUCACAGCCCUUUGUAAGAGAUGUUCCCGGUAGGCUGUAAGAGCACUGCGGAGAGCGAGUUGUUUCUUAGCUGCCCAGAGAGCUGGAACCGGCACGCUGAGGGACUUGUCCCCCAUUGUGGAAACAAGGCAGGACUUUCUGCCUUGCAGCUCUUGGGCCAUGUAGGACACGGCAGAGCAGAAGUUCUACUUCAGUGAGAUCAGGCCUGGGAAGAAAUUGCGUCUCACAGGCCUUUGUAAGACACGUUCCCGGUAGGCUUUAAGAGCCCUGUGCAGAGCGAGUUGUUUCUUAGACUGCAAAAGAGCUGGAAGCCGGACGCUGUGGGGCCUGUCUGCCCUUGAAGACACAGCAGAGGACUUUGUCCCUUUCAGCUCUGGCCCAUGUAGGACACGGCAGAGCAGAAGUUCUACUUCAGUGAGAUCAGGCCUGGGAAGAAAUUGCGUCUCACAGGCCUUUGUAAGACACGUUCCCGGUAGGCUUUAAGAGCCCUGUGCAGAGCGAGUUGUUUGUUAGACUGCAAAAGAGCUGGAAGCCGGACGCUGUGGGGCCUGUCUGCCCUUGAGGACACAAGACAGGACUUUGUCCCUUUUAGCUCUAGGCCCAUGUAGGACACGGCAGAGCAGAAGUUCUACUUCACCGAGAUCAGGCCUGGGAAGAAACUGCGUUUCACAGGCCUUUGUAGGACAUGUUCCCAGUAGGCUGUAAAACACCAGUGCAGAGCGAGCAGUUUCUUAGCUGCCCAAAGAGAUGGAAGCCUGACGCUGUGGGGCCUCUCUGCCCUUGAGGACACAAGGCUGGACUUUCUCCCUUUGAGGUCUAGGGGCAUGUAGGACACGGCAGAGCUGAACUUCUACUUCAGCGAGAUCAGGCCUGGUAAGAAACUGCGUUUCACAGGCCUUUGUAAGACAUGUUCCUGGUAGGCUUGUAUGCCCGAUGCAGAGCGAGUUGUUUCUUAGUUGCCCAAAAGCUGGAAGGGGGACACUGUGCUGCCGGCCUGCCCCUGAGGAGAGAAGGCAGGAGUUUGUCCCUUUCAGCUCUAGGCCCAUGUAGGACAUGGCAGAGCAGAAGUUCUAAUUCAGCGAGAUCUAGCCUGGGAAGAGACUGCGUUUCAGAUGCCUUUGUAAGACAUGUUCCCUGUAGGCUGUAAAACACCAGUGCAGAGCCAGCUGUUUCUCAGCUGCCCAAAGAGCUGGAAGCCGGACACUCUGCUGCCCGUCUGCCCUUGAGGAGACAAGGCAGGACUUUGUCCCUUGCAGCUCUAUGGCCAUGUAGGACACGGCAGAUCAGAAGUCCUACAUCAGGGAGAGCAGGCCUGGGAAGAAACAGCAUAACACAGGCCUUUGUACGAUAUGUUCCUGGUAGGCUUGUAGGAGCCCUGUGCAGAGCGAGUUGUUUCUUAGCAGCCCAAAGAGCUGUAAUCUGGACGCUGAGGGACUUGUCUCCCCUUGUGGAAACAAAGCAGGACUUUGUGAAUUGCGGCUCUAGGGUCAUGAAGGACACGGCAGAGCAGAAGUCCUACAUCAGGGAGAGCAGGCCUGGGAAGAAACAGCAUAACCCAGGUCUUUGUACGAUAUGUUCCCGGUUGGCUUGUAGGAGCCCUGUGCAGAGCGAGCUGUUUCUUAGCAGCCCAAAGAGCUGGAAUCCGGACGCUGAGGGACUUGUCUCCCCUUGUGGAAACAAAGCAGGACUUUGUGAAUUGCGGCUCUAGGGUCAUAAAGGACACGGCAGAGCAGAAGUUCUACUUCAGCGAGAUCAGGCCUGGGAAGCAACUGCGUUUCACAGGCCUUUGUAAGACAUGUUCCCGGUAGGCUUUAAGAGCCCUGUGCAGAGCGAGUUGUUUCUUAGCCUGCCAAAGAGCUGGAAGCCGGACGCUGUGGGACCAGUCUGCCCUUGAGGACACAAGACAGGACUUUGUCCCUUUCUGCUCUAGGCACAUGCAGGACACGGCAGAGCAGAAGUUCUACUUCAGCGAGAUCAGGUCUGGGAAGAAACUGCGUUUCAGGGGCCUUUGUAAGCCAUGUUCCCGGUAGGCUGUAAAACACCAGUGCAGAGCGAGCUGAUUCUUAGCUGCUCAAAGAGCUGGAAGCCGGACGGUGUGGGACCUGUCUGCCCUUGAAGACACAACAGAGGACUUUGUCCCUUUCAGCUCCAGGCCCAUCUAGGACACGGCAGAGCAGAAGUUCUACCUCACUGAGAUCAGGCCUGGGAAGAAACUGCGUUUCACUUGCCUUUGUAGGACAUCUUCCCGGUAGGCUGUAAAGCACCAGUGCAGAGCGAGCUGUUUCUUAGCUGCACAAAGAGAUGGAAGCUGGACGCUGUGGGGCCUGUCUGCUCUUGAAGACACAACACAGGACUUUGUCCCUUACAGCUCUAGGCCCAUGUAGGACACGGCAGAGCAGAAGUUCUACUUCAGCGAGAUCAGGCCUGUGAAGAAACUGCGUUUCACAGGCCUUUGGAACAUGUUCCCGGUAGGCUGUAAAACACCACUGCAGAGCGAUUUGUUUCUUAGCUGCCCAAAGAGCUGGAAGCCGGACACUCUGCUGCCCGUCUGCCCUUGAGAAGACAAGGCAGGACUUUGUCCCUUGCAGCUCUAUGGCCAUGUAAGACACGGCAGAGCAGAACUCCUACAUCAGGGAGAGCAGGCCUGGGAAGAUACAUCAUAACACAGGGCUUUGUACGAUAUGUUCCCGGUAGGCUUGUAGGAGCCCUGUGCAGAGCGAGUUGUUUCUUAGCAGCCCAAAGACAUGGAAUCUGGACGCUGAGGGACUUGUCUCCCCUUGUGGAAACAAAGCCGGACUUUGCGAAUUGCAGAUCUAGGGUCAUGUAGGACACGGCAGAGCAGAAGUUCUACUUCAGCGAGAUCAGGCCUGGGAAGAAACUGCGUUUCACAGGCCUUUGUAAGACAUGUUCCCGGUAGGCUGUAAAACACCAGUGCAGAGCGAGCUGUUUCUCAGCUGCCCAAAGAGCUGGAAGCCGGACGCUGUGGGGCCUGUCUGCCCUUGAAGACACAGCAGAGGACUUUGUCACUUUCAGCUCUAGGCCCAUGUAGGACACGGCAGAGCAGGAGUUCUACUUCAGCGAGAGCCUGCCUGAGAUGAAACUGCGUUUCAUAGGCCUUUGUAAGACAUGCUCCCGGUAGGCUUGUGAAAGCCCUGUGCAGAGUGAGCUGUUUCUUAGCUUCCCAAAGAGCUGGAAGCCGGACGCUGUGGGACCAGUCUGCCCUUGAGGACACAGACAGGACUUUGUCCCAUCAGCUCUAGGCCCAUGCAGGACACGGCAGAGCAGAAGUUCUACUUCAGCGAGAUCAGGUCUGGGAAGAAACUGCGUUUCACAGGCCUUUGUAAGACAUGUUCCCAGUAGGCUUUAAGAGCCCUGUGCAGAGCGAGUUGUUUCUUAGCCUGCCAAAGAGCUGGAAACCGGACGCUGUGGGACCAGUCUGGCCUUGAGGACACAAGACAGGACUUUGUCCCUUUCAGCUCUAGGCCCAUGCAGGACACGGCAGAGCAGAAGUUCUACCUCACUGAGAUCAGGCCUGGGAAGAAACUGCGUUUCACUUGCCUUUGUAGGACAUCUUCCCGGUAGGCUGUAAAGCACCAGUGCAGAGCGAGCUGUUUCUUAGCUGCACAAAGAGAUGGAAGCUGGACGCUGUGGGGCCUGUCUGCUCUUGAAGACACAACACAGGACUUUGUCCCUUUCAGCUCUAGGCCCACGUAGGACACGGCAGAGCAGAAGUUCUACUUCACCGAGAUCAGGCUGGGAAGAAACUGCGUUUCAGAUGCCUUUGUAAGACAUGUUCCAGGUAGGCUUGUAGGAGCCCGAUGCAGAGCGAGUUGUUUCUUUGUUGCCCAAAAGCUGGAAGGCGGACACUGUGCUGCCGCCCUGCCCCUGAGGAGAGAAGGCGGGAGUUUGUCCCUUUCAGCUCUAGGCCCAUGUAGGACACGGCAGAGGAGAAGUUCUAAUUGAACGAGGUCUGGACUGGGCACAAACUGCGUUUCAGAUGCCUUUGUAAGACAUGUUCCCUGUAGGCUGUAAAACACCAGUGCAGAGCGAGCUGUUUCUCAGCUUCCCAAAGAGCUGGAAGCUGGACGCUGUGGGACCUGUCUGCCCUUGAGGACAAAAGGCAGAACUUUGUCCCUUUCAGCUCUAGGCCCAUGUAGAACACGGCAGAGCAGAAGUUCUACUUCAGCGAGAUCAGGCCUGGGAAGAAACUGCGUUUCACAGGCCUUUGUAAGACAUGUUCCCGGUAGGCUUUAAGAGCGCUGUGCAGAACGAGUUGUUUCUUAGCUGCCCAAAGAGCUGGAAGCUGGACGCUGAGGGACUUGCCUCUCCUUGUGGAAACAAGGCAGGAUUUUGUGAAUUGCAGCUCUAGGGUCAAAUAGGACACGGCAGAGCAGAAGUUCUACUUCAGCGAGAUCAGGCCUGGGAAGAAACUGCGUCUCACAGGCCUUUGUAAGACAUGUUCCCGGUAGGCUUUAAGAGCCCUGUGCAGAGCGAGUUGUUUCUUAGACUGCAAAAGAGCUGGAAGCCUGACGCUUUGGGGCCUCUCUGCCCUUGAGGACACAAGACAGGACUUUGUCCCUUUUAGCUCUAGGCCCAUGUAGGACACGGCAGAGCAGAAGUUCUACUUCAGCGAGAGCAGGCCUGAGAUGAAACUGCGUUUCAUAGGCCUUUGUAAGACAUGCUCCCGGUAGGCUUGUAAAAGCCCUGUGCAGAGUGAGCUGUUUCUUAGCUUCCCAAAGAGCUGGAAGCCGGACGCUGUGGGACCUGUCUGCCCUUGAGGACAAAAGGCAGAACUUUGUCCCUUUCAGCUCUAGGCCCAUGUAGAACACGGCAGAGCAGAAGUUCUACUUCAGCGAGAUCAGGCCUGGGAAGAAACUGCGUCUCACAGGCCUUUGUAAGACAUGUUCCCGGUAGGCUUUAAGAGCCCUGUGCAGAGCGAGUUGUUUCUUAGACUGCCAAAGAGCUGGAAGCCGGACGCUGUGGGACCAGUCUGCCCUUGAGGACACAAGACAGGACUUUGUCCCUUUCAGCUCUAGGCCCAUGCAGGACACGGCAGAGCAGAAGUUCUACUUCAGCGAGAUCAGGUCUGGGAAGAAACUGCGUUUCACAGGCCUUUGUAAGACAUGUUCCCGGUAGGCUGUAAAACAGCAGUGCAGAGCAAGCUGUUUCCCAGCUGCCCAAAGAGCUGGAAGCCGGACGCUGUGGGGCCUCUCUGCCCUUGAGGACAGAAGGCUGGACUUUCUCCCUUUGAGCUCUAGGCCCAUGUAGGACACGGCAGAGCUGAACUUCUGCUUCAGCGAGAUCAGGCCUGGGAAGAAACUGCGUUUCGCAGGCCUUUCUCAACAUGUUCCUGGUAGGCUGUAAAACAGCAGUGCAGAGCAAGCUGUUUCUCAGCUGCCCAAAGAGCUGGAAGCCGGACGCUGUGGGGCCUGUCUGCCCAUGAAGACACAACAGAGGACUUUGUCCCUUUCAUCUCUAGGCCCAUGUAGGACACGGCAGAGCAGAAGUUCUACUUCACCGAGAUUAGGCCUGGCAAGAAACUGCGUUUCACAGGCCUUUGUUGGACAUGUUCCCAGUAGGCUGUAAAACACCAGUGCAGAGCCAGCUGUUUCUUAGCUGCCCAAAGAGCUGGAAGUCGGAC